rnacentral:tRNA from 3 species
GCCAAUAUAGCUCAGUUGGUAGAGCAGCUGAUUCGUAAUCAGCAGGUCAAGGGUUCGAGUCCCUUUAUUGGCUCCA